rnacentral:rRNA from 1 species
UCCGACACAGGUGAAUUAGAGUUAUGUUCUAAGGCUAAAUAGAAAUAACCAGGUUGAAGGAACUCGGCAAAAUGCUUACGUGCUUAUCGACAAGUAAGGACUAUAAAUGUUACAAUAUAAUUGAAGGCAACGACUGUUUAAUCAAAACACAAGACUCUGCUUAAUGUAAAACGUAUUAUUAUAAGACAGCCCGACGCAGUCGGCAAGCCUGCGCCAAUGAAUUUGGCGCUGGCGCGUCUUUUUGGGUUAUAAUAAUAUUCGUAUGUAAAGAGUCUGACAUCUGCCCAAGUACUAAGGUAAACGGCUGCUGUAACUAUAACGGUACUAAGGUAGCAAAAUCCAUUGACGUUUAAUUGAUGUCGCGCAUGAAUGAUGUAACGAUUGUCUUGCUGUCUCCAACCUGGAUUCUGUGAAAUUGAAUUGCCCGUGCAGAUGCGGGAUACGUG